AUACGGAGGAUCCGAGCGUUAUCCGGAUUUAUUGGGUUUAAAGGGUGCGCAGGCGGGAGAUUAAGUCGGCGGUGAAAUUUUGCAGCUCAACUGUAAAAGUGCCUUCGAAACUGGUUUCCUUGAGUGUAGAUGAAGUAGGCGGAAUGUGUUGUGUAGCGGUGAAAUGCUUAGAUAUGACACAGAACACCGAUUGCGAAGGCAGCUUACUAAGAUACAACUGACGCUGAGGCACGAAAGCGUGGGGAUC
rnacentral:rRNA from 1 species